AGCUCUUCCAGUUCUUUCUCUGAUUCCUUCAACAGGGGUCCUAUUCUCAGUUCAGUGGUUUGCUGCUGGCAUUCGCCUCUGUGUUUGCUGUAUUCUGGCUGUGUCUCUCAGGAGCGAUCUACAUCCGGCUCCUGUCGGUCUGCACUUCUUUGCUUCAUCCAUCUUGUCUAAUUGGGUGGCUGUAUAUGUAUGGGCCACAUGUGGGGCAGGCUCUGAAUGGGUGUUCCUUCAGUCUCUGUUUUAAUCUUUGCCUCUCUCUUCCCUGUCAAGGGUAUUCUUGUUCCCCUUUUAAAGAAGGAGUGAAGCAUUCACAUUUUGAUCAUCCGUCUUGAGUUUCAUUUGUUCUAGGCAUCUAGGGUAAUUCAAGCAUUUGGGCUAAUAGCCACUUAUCAAUGAGUGCAUACCAUGUAUGUCUUUCUGUGAUUGGGUUAGCUCACUCAGGAUGAUAUUUUCCAGUUCCAACCAUUUGCCUACGAAUUUCAUAAACUCGUUGUUUUUGAUAGCUGAGUAAUAUUUCAUUGUGUAGAUGUACCACAUUUUCUGUAUCCAUUCCUCUGUUGAAGACUAAAUUUCUUAUAAAAGUGGAGCUAAAUAAAUGAAGAUUUUUCUUGUCCCAUUCAUAGAUGUAUUGUAUAAUGAAUUGAUCAAUUUGUUUUUGUUAAAGAUUUAUUUACUUAUUAUAGAUAAGCACACUGUAACUGUCUUCAGACACACCAGAAGAGGGCAUCAGAUCCCAUUACAGAUGGUUGUGAGACACCAUGUGGUUGCUGGAAUUUGAACUCAGGACCUCUGGAAGAGCGGAAAGAGCAGUCAGUGCUCUUAACCACCGAGCCAUGUCUCCAGCCUGAAUUCAUCAGUUUGAAGUGAGAAAAUGAGUUCAUGUCAGAAAAGGCAAAAUAAAAAAUAAUAAAGAGAAGAAGAGUUUCUGGCUAAGGAGAACUUCCCACCAAGAAAAGCUGGGUAAAUAUACUAGAGCAAACUCCCUGGGAAAGGCAUGGAGCAGGAGCACUUAUUGAGCACAUUCAGCCAGGGUUUCUAUUCCCACACAAACAUCAUGACCAAGAAGCAAGUUGGGGAGGAAAGGGUUUAUUCAGUUUAUUACCACGGUGCUGUUUCAUCACCAAAGAAAGUCAGAACUGGAACUCAAGCAGGUCAGGAAGCAGGAGCUGAUGAAGAGGCCAUGGAGGGAUGUUUCUUACUGGCUUGCUUACCCUGGCUUGCUCAGCUUGCUUUCUUAUAGAUCCCAAGACCACCAGCCCAGGGACAGCACCACCAACAAAAGCAAUGUAAGAUUUCAAGGAAUAUGAAAACCAAAGAAAGAUGACACCGUCGAAUGAGCAAUAUCUAUUUCAGUGCUGAAUGACAAGUCCCCAAGGAGCUCCCAGAGACUGAGCCACCAACCAGGAGCCUACAUGGGCUGGUGUGAGGCCCUUGGCACAUAUGUAGUAGUAAGUCCCUUUUGAGGCUCUUGAAGCACUUUUUAUUUGUCUAUUUACUUACUUUCUCAGAAAUCUUAAGUAUCAUGUUGGCUUUCUGAGUGUUUAUUCAUUUUAACCUUGAUUUUACCUCUUAUUCAGUUCUUACUGAGGAAUAUACAUGCUAAUUUUUAAGGUUAUGGUACACUGCUAUUUUAAUGAAAGUAGCUGAUUG